GGGCUCAGCCUCUGCCCCUGUCCCGGGCCGUGUCCCUCCCACACGGCUCAUCCGCUUCCCUGGGAGACAUGCAGUCACGGCCUGUGGGGCAGGACAAGGGGGUCAUAGAAAGCGAGGGUGGGAAGGGACUUCAAGCGGUCACAUCUCAUCCAACCCCUACUCAAAGCAGGACCAGCCCUAACUAGGUCAUCCCAGCCAAGGCUUUGUCUAGCCAGGUUUUGAAAACCUCCAAGGAUGGGGUGUCAGCCACUUUCUGGGUAGCCUGUUCCACUGUUUUACUACCCUCCUAGUGAAAAAAUUAUUCCUAAUAUCUAACCUAAACUUCCCUUGCUGCAAUUUGAGAUGGUUGCUCCUUGUUCUGUCACCUGCCAGCAUGGAGAACAGUCCGGCUCCAUCCUCUAUGGAACUGCACAUCGGGUAGAGUGGCCACUAACACAUCCCCAAAAUACAGGACAUCCCCUUGGUAAGGUGUGGGACCACCGGCCCUCUCAACCAAUCAGUGAUGAGGGACAGGGCUGCCAUGUCCUUGG
rnacentral:lncRNA from 1 species